rnacentral:rRNA from 1 species
GAUGAACGCUGGCGGCGUGCCUAAUACAUGCAAGUCGAGCGAACGGACGAGAAGCUUGCUUCUCUGAUGUUAGCGGCGGACGGGUGAGUAACACGUGGAUAACCUACCUAUAAGACUGGGAUAACUUCGGGAAACCGGAGCUAAUACCGGAUAAUAUGUUGAACCGCAUGGUUCAAAAGUGAAAGACGGUCUUGCUGUCACUUAUAGAUGGAUCCUCGCUGCAUUAGCUAGUUGGUAAGGUAACGGCUUACCAAGGCAACGAUGCAUAGCCGACCUGAGAGGGUGAUCGGCCACACUGGAACUGAGACACGGUCCAGACUCCUACGGGAGGCAGCAGUAGGGAAUCUUCCGCAAUGGGCGAAAGCCUGACGGAGCAACGCCGCGUGAGUGAUGAAGGUCUUCGGAUCGUAAAACUCUGUUAUUAGGGAAGAACAUAUGUGUAAGUAACUGUGCACAUCUUGACGGUACCUAAUCAGAAAGCCACGGCUAACUACGUG